GAUGAACGCUGGCGGCGUGCUUAACACAUGCAAGUCGAACGAAGCACCUUGAUUCGCUUCUUCGGGUGAAGAUCUUGGUGACUGAGUGGCGGACGGGUGAGUAACGCGUGGGUAACCUGCCUCAUACAGGGGGAUAACAGUUAGAAAUGACUGCUAAUACCGCAUAAGACCACAGCACCGCAUGGUGCAGGGGUAAAAACUCCGGUGGUAUGAGAUGGACCCGCGUCUGAUUAGGUAGUUGGUGGGGUAACGGCCUACCAAGCCGACGAUCAGUAGCCGACCUGAGAGGGUGACCGGCCACAUUGGGACUGAGACACGGCCCAAACUCCUACGGGAGGCAGCAGUGGGGAAUAUUGCACAAUGGGGGAAACCCUGAUGCAGCGACGCCGCGUGAGCGAUGAAGUAUUUCGGUAUGUAAAGCUCUAUCAGCAGGGAAGAAAAUGACGGUACCUGACUAAGAAGCACCGGCUAAAUACGUG
rnacentral:rRNA from 1 species